rnacentral:lncRNA from 1 species
ACCCGCGCCUCUCCCUCCACACCUCUGUGCAAGCUGAGGGAGCCGGCUCCGGCCUCGGCCAGCCCAGAAAAGGGCUCCCGCAGUGCAGCGGCGGGCUGAAGGGCUGCUGAAGCGCGGCAAGAGUGGGCGCCUAGGCCAAGGAGGCGCGGAGAGCGAGCGAGGCCUGUGAGUGCUGCCAGCACGCCGUCACCUCUCAAUAUGACUUAGGGAUCAUGGCUUAUUUGAGCUGUUGCUCCUCAGUGGACAUCAUAGGAUCUUGCAGAUGUGUAUCAAUCCUUCGCAAGUAGGUGCCCAGGAAGUCCUGGAACUGAGUCCUGGGGCAAGGUUCUGGAAGUUGGGACAAGAAGGCUGAACCUCGCUGGUGAUUCAGAUGGAUCAUGAGGAUCUUUCAACAAAGCUAAGUUCCCGUCUUUUAACGCAGUUAUUCUCAUACUUUUAUACUGAAAUAUCCAGAAUAGCAAAUGAGUUAAAUAUGUUUUCUGUGGGGUUCUGUACAAAGAAGAUUUAGAGCUUUAUGAACCUAAAAUAACAUAUCACAAGGAGAAAAUUUACUUGAAGUGGGAGACUUGGCUUAAAAGCAUCUAAUAUAAAUUGUAUAUUAUAUUCAAUAAUACAAAAGCAAUGCUUUAUUUAGAAUGAAUUAAAAUGCAUGCUUCAGACAAAAUGCAUGAUGUUUAGCUUUUGAUUUACUGAAUAUACUAUUCAACAGAUGUUUGAGUUACAUAGUUUGAGGAGCACAGGCCUUUGGUAUUGAUGGCUCCUGUUAAAAUAAAAACAUGUUUUCUGAGAGCAUAAUCAUAUGAAACCAGGAGCACAUAUUAACAUAAAACUCAAAUCACUUCCCCUGACUUUCUUCUUUCAAAUGUAAAGAAAGUGGGAAACAGGACAGAUGAAUUUGAAGAAACAGAAGAGCUCAGGAAAGUUCAAAGCAUGAAGCAAACUCAAAAGUAUAUCUAAAUACCUAGGGAGCACCUUCAAAGCACAAGGUACCUGAAGAUGAAACGGCAGAAGUGAAAAGAAUUGCUCGUGUAGUACAGGGCUAAAAUUGUACCUGAAGCAUCUCUGCUGCUAUCCCAGGAGAAGAAGAGUCGACAGUAGCUAUGGUAAACAUGCAUGGAAGCAUCAGGGAAAACAGAAAUUUAGAGAAGCAGAUAGAGUGAGCCCAAGGCAAGAUAAGGGUUUCUGGGUCUGAAUUUCAGAAAAGCCUGACUAUGGAGAGUGGGAGUUCCUGUUUUCUUUCAGUGACUUGCUAAUUUCAAUUUUGUGUGUGUGUGGCAUUAACAGAUUUUUGCCUAACUUGGGACAUUUUUAACAGUAGAGGAACUCUUCUGUCAGUUCUGAUAUGGUAAUUUUAAAACACAUAUUCUUUAACUGAACAUUCAUUAAAUCACUUGGCCAGGAAUCCAAAUAACAAAAUGUCUGUCAUGGAAUUCUGUGUGUAAUAGGAGUUAUGUAACUUGUUUCUUCUUAGUAGAGAGAAUAAAAAGUAAAGUCAAAACCACCCCCAGAUGACCAUUUUUAGCACUUUCAUUUUAUCGGGAGAGGUGAGCAACAUGCAGAAAAUAUAUAUUCUUGAAUUAAUCUCCUUUGGGUACAGAGAGAAAAGAGCUCAUUAUUCUUCUAACUGGCAACGUUUGAUUUUAUUGACACCCUAACAGUAUGUCAAUUGCUCAGUAUAUCUCCCUAGGCUGUAGUCUUGCAGACUUUCUUUUUUCUUUUUUUUUUUAACUUACCAAUUCUAUGAUGUAUUCCCAUGGAUGUCUCUUUUUAUGCUAUUUUACAAUCUAUUUCUAGAAUAAUCAUGGAAAUUUCAAUGGAAACAACAUAUCACAUUCUCUGUCUACUACAUAAGUAUGUCUUUUUUAUUUGUAAAUAGAUCAUAUUUUGCACAUAAUUAGGUAAUACCCACAUAUCUCAAUUUGGCUUAGGAAUUAUAUUGAAAGAUAGAAUUGCAUAAGGGUAGGGAUUUUACUUUUAAAUUAUUUUCAUGUCUCCAUGGAUUGGCUCUGUGCUUUACACCCAGUAGCUGUGAAACAAGUACUUAUUUAAUGAUGAAUGAAUAAAUAAAUAAAUAGUUAAAUGCAGCAACAAAAAUGUUGGUAGAUAUAUAGGAUUGUAGAAUCUAAUUGCUUAGUAGGAUCAUCAAGUUCUACCCAAAUUUGGUGUGGCAAACAGAACAAUGGUCCCUUAAGGAUGGCCUAGUCCUAACCUCCCAAACCUGGAAUAUGUUACCUUAUGUAACAAAGAGACUUUGCAGAUGUAAUUAAGUUAAUGAUCUUAAGACAGAAAUAUUAUUCUAAGUGAACUCAAUGAAAUUACAAUGAACAAUGUUCCUUAAAAGAGGAAGGCAAAAGUUCAGAAUGAAACACACAGACACACAUAAAGUGGCUACGAAAGCAGAAGUAGUGAGAGAUUUGAAGAUGCUACCUUACUAGAUUCAAAGACAGAGGAAGGGGUUAAAAUCUGAGGAAAUCAGGCAAGGCAGCCUUUCGAAGCUGCAGAAGAUGAGGAAAUGAAUUCUCCCUAGAACUUCCAGAUAGAAACAGCCCUACUGAUGCCUUGACAUUAGCUCAGUGAAACGUAUUUUCAGACUCUAACUUCCAGAUCUGUAGGAGAUAAAUUUGUGUUGUUUAAGCUACUACAUUUGUGGCAGUUUGUCAAAGUAGCAAAAGGAAACGUAUAUUUGGUAGGCAUCAGAAUUUCCUGAGCAAUAUAGUGUGAUUACCUUUGAAAAUUCUACUCAGCAGUCCUGGAAUUGCAGCCUGAAAUUUGAAAUUUACUAAGUGCUCCCACUAUAUCUGAGUCAGGAAUUACCUAGGAAACCAUGAUAUAUUGCAUUACACUAAUUUUGUACUUGAGAAAAAGCACAAUGUUAAAAUCUCAAGAACAUUAAUAUAGACUUAAGUACAAUUUAUCAUGUAAAAACAUAUUUGAAAAAGUAAGCCUGAAAAAAAGAAACAACUGAACUAUUAACACUAUAUUCUCUAACUAUAUAUUGAUUUUCUCCUUUUGCUUUUACACAGCGAACCACAUAUACUUUCACAGAGGGUGAUUUGGAUAAUAUGUUCCAUGCAUUGCUCCAAGCAGAAAUUCUCAAUCUAUCAUUUCUGCUUGUAUUAUUUUACACCUCUUAAAGACAUUCACAUUCCAUCACAGGGAGCCAAAAUCAGCCUGUUAUAUCUCUGUUUGCGAAUACCGCAAUACUUACUUUACUUUCUCCUGAAUAGAUUGUUAGUGGUUUUUAUUAUCUCCUGUAAAGAGUGUGAGAAAUGCAUGUUGCAAGGACACUUUUGUUUUAUUCACAUUAUUCUACUGAAUCAUGCUAACCAUAGCAUUACAUCUAUUUAUCUAUCUAGCUAUUAAACAUAUUCAGAAUACCUAACAACUUUAGGGGCAUUCAGUAUAUAGAAUAUGCUAGUAUUUGUUAUUUUCUAAAAAUUAAUAAUUAAGAAUGUCAUUCUAUUAUUGCAUUAGUGACUUAGUUAAAAUUUAGACCAUUA